rnacentral:rRNA from 1 species
CCAGACUCCUACGGGAGGCAGCAGUGGGGGAUAUUGCACAAUGGGGGGAACCCUGAUGCAGCGACGCCGCGUGGGUGAAGGAGUAUUUCGGUAUGUAAAGCCCUAUCGGCAGGGAAGAAGCAAGACGGUACCUGACUAAGAAGCCCCGGCUAACUACGUGCCAGCAGCCGCGGUAAUACGUAGGGGGCAAGCGUUAUCCGGAUUUACUGGGUGUAAAGGGAGCGUAGACGGCGGCGCAAGUCCGGAGUGAAAGCCCGCGGCCCAACCGUGGGACUGCUCUGGAAACUGUGCGGCUUGAGUGCGGGAGGGGCAGGCGGAAUUCCUAGUGUAGCGGUGAAAUGCGUAGAUAUUAGGAGGAACCCCAGUGGCGAAGGCGGCCUGCUGGACGACAACUGACGGUGAGGCGCGAAAGCGUGGGGAGCAAACAGGAUUAGAUACCCGGGUAC